CCAUUACACAGAGAAGGACACCAAGAAAGGUCAAGUAAGUUGCCCAAGGUCUCAGAGCAAAUAAAUGAUCCAGGUGAAGGUGGAGGCUGCAAACGUGUCCAAGCGUUCCCCCGGGACCGCUCUCAAGGCCACACUGUUUCACUGGCGCUCCCCUUAGGGCUGCCCUGGACGGGGUCUUGGCGCCUCCACUAAUGGUGGAGCGGAAGGUUGAGGGAGGAAGAUGGGGGUGGGGUGCGUACUCGAGGGGCAAGCGCUCUUUCAGGGACUUAAGCCUCAAUAAUCCAAGUUUUCGUUUACUAACGACCCUUAGAAAAGCAGCCAGACAGAAAAUCUGGGCAUCGCCAGAGUCUCAACUUCUGCUGACCCUUUGCCAUGCUGUAGAAGGCGCAUGUGGACGCACCUGCCUCCCAUAACCGCUGAGGCCCUGCGGGCGGUAAGUUCCCAUUAGCAAGCGCCGGGCAUAAACACCGGUGGCACGUUGUAGAAAAACCAGUGUCCCAGCUCUUUGAAAACGCGAGGCCCCGCUCUCCUUAGAGCAACGUCUGAGGGGCCACACUCCCCAGGAAAUCUCCGGACGUUUCUGGGCAUCCCCGGAAAAGCUUUUCUAACCGCCACUCACUGUCCCCGGGUAAUAGGCUUGCGCGGCCAGAGGUUGGCGCGUUUACCACCAGGGAAAACGCUGCGGGCGCUCCCCGCCCAGCCUGUCGCCGGGACAGCCCGGCCCCAAGGGCUCCUUCCGGCCCUCCCUGGGCGGCUGCCGAGACCUUGUCCCCACUCGGCGCCACAGGCCAAAGCCCGACUCCUCCGACCUUCGCUGUGCAACUGAUUAUAUUGCGAAAGGCGCAGAGUCCGGGACCAGGUCCAAAAUUUAUGGAUCCAGCGGCGCUCCCAACAAGCCCUCGGCUGUCUCUGAGUAUGUGGCUGCGUACUUGACAUCUUCUGGUUACUGCAGGAUAGGAGCUGCGAAUUUGACAUCCUCUGGUUACUGCAGAAUAGGAGCACGUCUGUGACCUUCUUUAGUUUCUGUUACUUCAAAGAAAAAGGGAGAGAGAACCAAAGGUGGCUGUGGGACCAGGAGUGACCAUUGGGUCAAAAAACAACGUUUAUUUUCCUUUCUUUUGUCUUAAAAAAAAAAAAUCUUCUGGCCAUACAAGGCCGCUAGCGCCCAAGGACAGAAUUGUGCGAGGUAUGUCAAGCUGUCGAUGUGCUCCAGGCCGCAAGCCUGGUAGCUGGUUGAAUUGACGGACCUUCCUCACGUGAGGAGCACCAGGAUCGGGUCCGCGGUCUUGUCCCCCUUCCGGGCCUGCGAGGCCCGGCUCCGCCGGCCGGGGAAGAAAAGAGAGAGCCAGGAAGGGUUCUGCGCACUCCGGGCGCCUCGCCUCGCCGCUGCCCCCGCGGGAACCUGAACCCUUUAUAGAAUGACCCAGCUCCUGAAUCCUGACCCGCGCGCACGAGUUGGAGAAUGGACAAGCGGCAGGGCACCUCGCCACUUUAAAGGCCAAGUCUCUGAGGGUCUGGGCCUCUAUCUUUUCCCCACGCUCCGGGUGUCUUUGUCCCCCAGCCACCAGAAACCACGUGGGCCCCCACAAGCUGGGGAACGCUCAGGUUCUACCUGAGCUGGGGAACGUCCAGAGUUCUACCGGUCACCCGCCAAAGAGGCGGCAGGGACUCCAGGAACACAAAUGAGGUCCGCCACUUCUCAUUUUUCAAAAUGUGAAAGUUUCUAAGGCACAGAGUUCAUAUGGGUUCACUCGUCAUGAUAAGCAACAACGACCUACUAAGGAGACAUUUGUAGGUAGAAGUUCCUUAAGACCAACCAGGAGCAAGUCUGAUUGCAGGCUUUCAAGAGUCUCCUUUUCCAAGAGGGAAAAUUAAGGUUUCUACAGAAGAGUCUAGAAGCUUAAGCCUGCACUUCCUUGGCACAGCCAGCGGCUCCAGCCUCCUGGGUCAGCAUCUCUUCCUCACCUUGAGCUCUCUCCAUGUCCCUACGGUCCCCUUGGAUUACUCAUUGGGCUCCCCAAGGGCAGACUCAGGGUCCCCUUCUGCCCGGGGGGAACAACGCUGUUCCCAGCCUGGUCGCCAACUCCAUCUCACCCCCGCACCUCGGGCCACGGUCCUUUAAGACUAUCAUCCCUUCACUUGAUGGGACUACCGCCCAUCCAGCUGUCCCGGUGCUAGCAGCCCAAAGCCCCCAGAACACUCAAGGUCCUGCCCACCUGCCCUGUGCAGUCAGCAAGCAAGCGCGGCCCCAGUCCUCCCGUAAAGAUCAAAAUCGGAAUCGAGGCGAAGACCGGAAACAUAGUAAGGGGGCUCACACACUUGAGCGAGCCCAGUCCGCACCUCCAGCUGGCCUUCUCUCCUGCCUGCAGGCGCCAGGGAUGGGAAGAAAAAUAACUACAGUGUCUAUCAUUUGCUGAACACUGAAACACUAAAGUUUACGUGCCCAACAAACUUUAAAAGUCUAUUUUCUCAAAAAAGGGUCCCAACAAUCCAAAUGAAAGAAACCUAAUAUAUCCAUUUUAC
ensembl:lncRNA